GACGAACGCUGGCGGCGUGCCUAAUACAUGCAAGUAGAACGCUGAAGAGAGGAGCUUGCUCUUCUUUGGAUGAGUUGCGAACGGGUGAGUAACGCGUAGGUAACCUGCCUGGUAGCGGGGGAUAACUAUUGGAAACGAUAGCUAAUACCGCAUAAAAUUGAUUAUUGCAUGAUAAUUAAUUGAAAGAUGCAAUUGCAUCACUACCAGAUGGACCUGCGUUGUAUUAGCUAGUUGGUGAGGUAACGGCUCACCAAGGCGACGAUACAUAGCCGACCUGAGAGGGUGAUCGGCCACACUGGGACUGAGACACGGCCCAGACUCCUACGGGAGGCAGCAGUAGGGAAUCUUCGGCAAUGGGGGGAACCCUGACCGAGCAACGCCGCGUGAGUGAAGAAGGUUUUCGGAUCGUAAAGCUCUGUUGUAAGAGAAGAACGGGUGUAGAG
rnacentral:rRNA from 1 species